GUAGGGGGCGAGCGUUGUCCGGAUUUAUUGGGCGUAAAGAGCUCGUAGGCGGUUGCGUAAGUCGGAUGUGAAAACUCAGGGCUCAACCCUGAGAUGCCAUUCGAUACUGCGCUGACUCGAGUCCGGUAGGGGAGCAUGGAAUUCCUGGUGUAGCGGUGAAAUGCGCAGAUAUCAGGAGGAACACCAGUGGCGAAGGCGGUGCUCUGGGCCGGUACUGACGCUGAGGAGCGAAAGCAUGGGUAGCAAACAGGAUUAGAUACCCUGGUAGUCCCAUGCCCGUAAACGUUGGGCACUGGGUGUGGGGCCUACUUAACGGGUUCCGUGCCGUAGCUAACGCAUUAAGUGCCCCCCGCCUGGGAGUACGGCCGCAAGGCUA
rnacentral:rRNA from 1 species